rnacentral:rRNA from 1 species
CCCUUAGAUGUUCUGGGCCGCACGCGCGCUACACUGUUCGACGCAGCGAGUCUUAACCUUGACCGAAAGGUUUGGGUAAUCUUCAGCAAAGUCGAACGUGAUGGGGAUCGAUCAUUGCAAUUAUUGAUCGUGAACGAGGAAUUCCUAGUAAGUGCAAGUCAUCAGCUUGCGCUGAUUACGUCCCUGCCCUUUGUACACACCGCCUGUCGCUACUACCGAUUGAAUGGUUUAGUGAGAUCUCUGGAUUGACGCUGGCUAGGGGGCGACCCUUGGCCAGGCUGUCGAGAAACUGCUCAAACUUGAUCAUUUAGAGGAAGUAAAAGUCGUAACA